rnacentral:rRNA from 1 species
AAUGAACGUUGGCGGCGUGGAUUAGGCAUGCAAGUCGAGCGAGAACCCCGCAUGGGGGGCCAGCGGCGAAAGGGACAGUAAUGUGUAGAUUAUCUGCCCUCAGGUCCGGGAUAGCUGCGGGAAACUGCAGGUAAUACCGGAUAACAUCUCCGGAUCAAAGGUGUGAUUCCGCCUGAGGAUGAGUCUGCAUCCUAUUAGCUAGUUGGUGGGGUAAUGGCCUACCAAGGCAUUGAUGGGUAGCAGGUGUGAGAGCACGACCUGCGUCAUUGGGACUGAGACACUGCCCAGACACCUACGGGUGGCUGCAGUCGAGAAUCUUCGGCAAUGGGCGCAAGCCUGACCGAGCGACGCCGCGUGUGGGAUGAAGGCCUUCGGGUUGUAAACCACUGUCAGAGGGGAUGAAAUGCAGGUGGGUUCUCCCAUCUGUUUGACAUAGCCUCAGAGGAAGGACGGGCUAAGUUCGUG